UCAGAAUCGGCUUCACUCCAUUCCCAUGGGGCAGCGGAGCACAGAGGUUAGAAGAGCCUCGGGGCUGCCUGGCACACAGGCUUCACCAUUUGUGGUCUCAGGCCUUGGGGGUUGGGGCGGGAGACCGAAGGUGGAGAUGUGCCGCUGUGUACAGCCGACUUGCCUGCCCAUCACCCAAACACCAAGUUCCGCUCGCAGAGGAAGUGAGAGGUGUCCGAUUCGGUCUCCCAGAACGCAGCUGGGCUGCCUGAAACGAGCGCCGCGGCGACUCUGAAGGAGGUGUCAUCCCUGGGCCAGUACAGGAUUGAGUCACAGCAGCCGCCACUCCUGCGUCAAAAAUACUGGGCCAUUGUCCCAGGGAGUUUGGCCCCUCAGUCAAGUCAUUUCCGACCCGCAACCUGGAAUCCCAAUGAAGGAAAAAGGGGAGGAAAAGAAGCGGAAACCAGGAUGGCUAAGCAAGCCGAGGAAGACGAGCCCCGGCCAGCUGGAGUAGCACCUGAGUGUGCGACCCCACCCCCCACUGGGGCAUCUUCUCCUUGGUUACAUUCCAGACCCGGAAGCGAAUCCCGGCUGUAUGGUGUCCAAAGACCUACAAUCUGGGGGCAUUCCUUAAUAAAAAGAAUCCAAGAUUCUGAAAACAAACUUAAGUACAAAAG
rnacentral:lncRNA from 1 species